rnacentral:rRNA from 1 species
AUUGAACGCUGGCGGCAUGCCUUACACAUGCAGGUCGAACGGCAGCACGGGAGCAAUCCUGGUGGCGAGUGGCGAACGGGUGAGUAAUAUAUCGGAACGUGCCCAGUAGUGGGGGAUAACUGCUCGAAAGAGCAGCUAAUACCGCAUACGACCUGAGGGUGAAAGGGGGGGAUCGCAAGACCUCUCGCUAUUGGAGCGGCCGAUAUCAGAUUAGCUAGUUGGUGGGGUAAAGGCCUACCAAGGCAACGAUCUGUAGUUGGUCUGAGAGGACGACCAGCCACACUGGGACUGAGACACGGCCCAGACUCCUACGGGAGGCAGCAGUGGGGAAUUUUGGACAAUGGGCGCAAGCCUGAUCCAGCAAUGCCGCGUGCAGGAAGAGGGCCUUCGGGUUGUAAACUGCUUUUGUCAGGGAAGAAAUCCUCUAGGUUAAUACCCUUGGGGGGAUGACGGUACCUGAAGAAUAAGCACCGGCUAACUACGUGCCAGCCGCCGCCGUAAUAC